UUUGAUUGGUGGGCAAUUUGGGAAUUUGGGUACUUUGGGAUAGGAACCUUCUGGAAGGUGAUGGGACGACGGCGCGAGGCUUGGUGGCGGAAGGUUCGAAGGUGGAGAGGGUGCAAUGGAGGAGGGUAAGGAAGACGAGAAGGGCACAUAUGGAGAUUGUGGAUUGGGCUUUGGAGAGAAUAAGGCUGUUGGAGUUGGGGAUUUU
rnacentral:lncRNA from 1 species